GUGAAUCAUCGAAUCUUUGAACGCAAAUUGCGCUUCCUGGUAUCCCGGGAAGUAUGCCUGUUUGAGGGUCAGUAUUAACAAAAAAUCGGUUUGGUUACAAAUUGUGACGUUUCCGGAGUUUGGGCUUAUCUUAACUUUUUUGGUUAAGGGGCUUAAAAUUGACCUUUUUUGCGCAUUUUUGGAGGUACUUAAUUUUUUUUUAUCCUCUUUUCUUUAAUCCCAAAAU
rnacentral:misc_RNA from 1 species